rnacentral:rRNA from 1 species
GAUGAACGCUGGCGGCGUGCCUAAUACAUGCAAGUCGAGCGAAUGGAUUAAGAGCUUGCUCUUAUGAAGUUAGCGGCGGACGGGUGAGUAACACGUGGGUAACCUGCCCAUAAGACUGGGAUAACUCCGGGAAACCGGGGCUAAUACCGGAUAACAUUUUGAACCGCAUGGUUCGAAAUUGAAAGGCGGCUUCGGCUGUCACUUAUGGAUGGACCCGCGUCGCAUUAGCUAGUUGGUGAGGUAACGGCUCACCAAGGCAACGAUGCGUAGCCGACAUGAGAGGGUGAGCGGCCACACUGGGACUGGGACACGGCCCAGACUCCUACGGGAGGCAGCAGUAGGGAAUCUUCCGAAAUGGACGAAAGUCUGACGGAGCAACGCCGCGUGAGUGAUGAAGGCUUUCGGGUCGUAAAACUCUGUUGUUAGGGAAGAACAAGUGCUAGUUGAAUAAGCUGGCACCUUGACGGUACCUAACCAGAAAGCCACGGCUAACUACGUGCCAGCAGCCGCCGUAA